UUUUUUUCUGUUUGCUUAAUCACUCUCCACUUCUCCUAUCUUUAUGCAAAAAGAAGCUUCUUGAAAACACCAUAAAAAGGGGAAGCUUCUCAAACUCUCUCUUCCCUCUCUGUACAUAUGAUAUGAGUUUUUGUUUUUGUUUGGUCAGAACUAAAGGGGAAAUCCAAUCCAAGUAGUUUUGCUCCACAAAAGAGAAGAUGGAUGUAAUUGUCAUUUCAUUGCCUUUGGUCAUAUUGGUAUUGAUCGUAGCCGUUGUUUGUUAUCUAUGUGGAAGAUCGUGUUAAUCAAUAAUACACGGAGUAUGAACCCUACGAAGAAGAAGAAGUAGAGAGAGGAAAGACAAAUGUAAUCUUAUUUAGUAAUAAUAUGCAUUGAAAUUGAAAAGUUUAUUUAAGCUUAUUUGAAAGUAAUGAGUUCUGAAAUUUAUUAUAUGUAAGUGAAUUUCUCAACUAAUAUAUAUGAUAUGGAUCAAAGUUAUUGAGUUUUGUCUAA